AUACGGAGGGUCCGAGCGUUAUCCGGAAUCAUUGGGUUUAAAGGGUCCGUAGGCGGGAAUCUAAGUCAGUGGUGAAAUCUUGCAGCUCAACUGUAAAAUUGCCAUUGAUACUGGAUUUCUUGAAUUAGUGUGAAGUGGUUAGAAUGUGUAGUGUAGCGGUGAAAUGCAUAGAUAUUACACAGAAUACCAAUUGCGAAGGCAGAUCACUAACACUAUAUUGACGCUGAGGGACGAAAGCGUGGGAGCGAACAGGAUUAGAAACCCUAGUAGUCC
rnacentral:rRNA from 1 species